AUACGAUCAACAUUAGGGGGCCUGGUGGUGGCGCACCUGGUUAAUCACACAUAUUGCCAUGUUCAAGGACUCGGGUUAGAGCACCCCCCCCACUCUCCACCUGCAGGGGAGAAGUUCCAUUUGCAGUGAAAUAGUUCUAUUUGCAGAAAAGAAAACAUCUGAGUGGCAUUGUGGAAAAGCUAAGAGCACUGCUCAGCUCUGGUUUAUGGUUGCCGGGAGCCAGCCCCAGCGAAAGUAA